CACCCUUUUUCAGAGGCCCAAAGAUUCUUCUAUCAUUAAAUGAUUCACCAUCAUCAUCAUAAACCCCAAUAAUUCCCUUUUGAACACAAACACAAAAUGCAUUCUAUCUUCAACAACAGCUUCCCUCUAUGCCUCACUGGAGUCGCAUACUAUCAUCAACAUUCUAGUGCUAAACGGAUUGCGGAUCAUGAUAGGAAACGUGAAGAAAUUAAGCCGGCAAAACCGGAUAUUAGUGGAAUCAAAGGCGAGGUAAGAGAAAAUGAUGAUCAAGCGUCACUUUGUCGCGCUUCUUGUAUAGCUAAAGCUGCGUAAGGUAUUAGAGUAAAGUACACGGAUGGUCCAUGUGGUUAACCAAAAUUUUGGAUUUAGUCUUCAAUUUUUUUAAAGUACACAGAUGGUCUCUGUGGUUUGCUUUUUUUUAACACAUUUAAUCCUCAACUUUUGCCAAAAAUACAUGGAUGGUCCCUGUGGUAUGCACUUUGUAACACAUUUAGUCACUAAAUAUUAGGGACUAACUAUGUUACAAAGUGCAAACCACAGGGAUCAUCCAUAUACUUUUGACAAAAGUUGAGGACUAAAUAUGUUAUAAAGUGCAAACCACAGGGACUAUCCGUAUACUUUUAAAAAACUGAGGACUAAAUUCAAAAUUUUGGUUAACACAACGACAAUGUGUGUAUUUUACUCUAAUUAUUGUUGUACUGUUGUGAUCUUCAUGAAUUGGACUAAUUGGUCAUGUAUUUGCCAUAUGUGUAAGAUUAAAACUAUUGUGAUAUUAUUAUGUCGUGAAAUGAUUUGUUGAUUAAUUUUUAUA